CAGGAAUAUGUGAAGAAAGGUAACAAUAAUUCACUUGAAUUAAGGGAUCAUUUUGCUUCAUGUUCCCUUUCAGUCCCUCCUGCCCUUGCAUAGAUCUUGGCAAUGGUUGCUGUUCCGAUGCCAGUUUCAUGAAGGCAGCGGGCAUGGUGCUGGAGUGGAGAGGAGCAGCCUAAUUCUCCCAGCGGAAACUGCUUGUCAAACACCAGAAGCCAACAGAGGAAAUUAGGAAACUAGGGGUUAAAACAACUGUGCUCAUUCAAAUCAGAGCUUUGUCCUACCCGGGAUUUCUUUUCACAAGGGCAUUUCAGUAGCAGGCUUCUCAGGCUGAUCCCUUGGGAAAACUCUGCAACUUGGGCAGAACUUUCCUCUAGGCGGUCUCUCCGAGAGCUGUUCACUUCGCAGAAAGUGAAAGCUGUGUCUCCAGUAAGGAGGAAGUGUGCAUUUAGCAAGAGACGCUCCCAUUCUGAUUCAUGUAUUAGGACAAAGGAAAUGAGGGAAGAUGCCAAGGCUUAAGGAAAGUCUGAUGAGAGGACCCUAACAGAUAAGCAAUCCAUUCCAUCUAAAUCACAGAGCAAGAAAAGAUGUGGCAACCAAAGGGCCACUGUAUAGGAGGAAAUAAAACUACAUGGUGUAAAGACACAAUAAGGAGAAACACAGGCAACUGUACGAACAAUAAAAAAUUAAAAAUUACCCUUUGCUUAAAUGUAGUCUAACACAUCAUGGAAUACUUCUUUGACAUUUCCCUGCGGCUUUUCUCAACAGGCAACAAAUGAAAACAAUCUUGAAACCAUUCUGCUAAAGGCUCAGCACUGGAGGCCUGUCCAUACAUUGUCAUCAGAUAAUCUUAUCAUCAUGGUCAGGCCUCAAGCGUUUACACUUACAGGAGCAACAGGUUUUUAAUAGAAAAUACUCAACUCUGAUCUAAAAUGCAUGAAAAAACAAACAAAAAUUAACAUCCACACAGGCACACCUACAAACACUUACUAAUAGGAUUCUUCCCUAGUAUAAUCAAAUUUUACAGGAAAUAAAAGUUAAAUAGCUCAACUGUUAAGAGAAAUAGGAGUGGAGAAAUAAUUCUAAACACAGUACUAAAGAAGUAACAAAGAGAGUCCCA
rnacentral:lncRNA from 9 species